CAGAUAGGGCUGGCUGCAGACAGGAAGUGAGUCAGUAAGUUCCAUGAUGCCUCAGUAGAGAGAAUAGUUGUGAGGUGUCUGUUAAAAAAGUGAUUCCUGGUAUUGUCCACCUAUGUCUUCCCCAGUGAGCUGUACAAUAUCUGGUGCAGAGGUGGACAAAUGUUUGAAGUUGGCCUUGGGACUAAAAGCAGAAAAUCUGAAGAAUUGGUGAAAGAGAUCCACUCCCUAGAGAGAAGCAGGGGGCAGAGCUAGGUAAGUCCUCUUCCUCUAUUGCUGCUGUCAGUAUCCUGUGGGCAGAAGAAUAAAGGAGCAGAAAAGAUAAUGAAAGCCUUAUUGAUGACAGCUGGGAGCCAUGGAGAGAGAUUUCUGGUGCCUUUCCCAGCCACAGUUAGCAAAUAUGCCCCUCUGAAGCUGAAACACUAAACAAUAUGUCUGAGGUGGAUACAGUUUUCUAGUUGCUCAGGUCAAUAACUUCCUUUUCUUCCUGGAAAAGACAUGGGCUAUGACAUCCAUAGAUUCUUCUUGAUAAAAAGGAAACAGCUGUGGUUCACCCCAGGGGAAGAGUGGCUUCUUUAAGCACUUGAAAGCCCAGGCCCAUUCAGCUGGAGCCACGUGGGAAUUUCCUGUUGCCUUCCAGUCUGAAUUCGUCAUCAGAAAGAUAUGUCAGGAGUAAACAGAACCAUUGGCCAGUUGCUCAGAUGUUCCAGAAAAAGCCCCCAUGAGCAACUCAUUAAGGAGAUGGUCCUUGAAUUUUCAGGAAAAUAACCUGUAAGAAGACCAAGGAGAAGAAGCCUGAACCUAGGGGCAAGAGCAUUGGCCUGAGAGUCAGGACAUCUGGGUUCUGAUGCUGGGUCCAACACUUGCCUGC